rnacentral:tRNA from 1 species
AAUAAAGUCAGCUAAAUCUUUAAGCUAGUGGGUUCAUACCCCAAAAAUGAAUUUUCCUUUAUUA